rnacentral:rRNA from 1 species
AACGAACGCUGGCGGCAUGCCUAACACAUGCAAGUCGAACGAGACCUUCGGGUCUAGUGGCGCACGGGUGCGUAACGCGUGGGAACCUGCCCUUAGGUUCGGAAUAACUCCCCGACAGGGGUGCUAAUACCGGAUAAUGUCUUCGGACCAAAGAUUUAUCGCCUUUGGAUGGGCCCGCGUUGGAUUAGCUAGUUGGUAGGGUAAAAGCCUACCAAGGCGACGAUCCAUAGCUGGUCUGGGAGGAUGAUCAGCCACACUGGGACUGAGACACGGCCCAGAAUCCUACGGGAGGCAGCAGUGGGGAAUAUUGGAAAAUGGGCGAAAGCCUGAUCCAGCAAGGCCGGGUGAGUGAUGAAGGCAGUAGGGUUGUAAAGCUCUUUUACCCGGGAUGAUAAUGACAGUACCGGGAGAAUAAGCUCCGGCUAACUACGUG